UCUGAAGUAUUUUUAUAUCAAUAGGAAAUCUUUCUUCAAAUUUGAUUCUGUAUUGGAACUCUUCUAUGAAAAUGGGAAGAAAAGCUGCUGCUUGCGCUGAUCUCCCCUCCCACCCCGGGGACAAACCUUUUUUGGCGAGACUGCAGAUUUUCUUCGGCUGGUGA